CUACGUCGGCGACCGGCGCACGGGUGCGUAACGCGUAUGCAACCUACCCAUUACAGGGGGAUAACACUGAGAAAUCGGUACUAAUACCCCAUAACAUCCAGGGAGGCAUCUUCUUGGGUUGAAAACUCCGGUGGUAAUGGAUGGGCAUGCGUUGUAUUAGUUAGUUGGUGGGGUAACGGCUCACCAAGACAACGAUACAUAGGGGGACUGAGAGGUUAACCCCCCACAUUGGUACUGAGACACGGACCAAACUCCUACGGAAGGCAGCAG
rnacentral:rRNA from 1 species